CCAGGGGGCCGGGCAGCCGCGUACUUCGACAAGCUCAGCAUGAGCGGGGAGAAGGCCGAGGAAAGUCCGGGCUCCACGAAACGAGGGUGGCGGGUAACGCCCGCCGGGGGUAACCCCAGGGAAAGUGCCACAGAGAGCAGACCGCCUGCAUCUGCAGGUAAGGGUGAAAGGGUGCGGUAAGAGCGCACCGGGGCCCUGGUAACAGGGCUCGCAUGGCAAACCCCACCCGGAGCAAGACCGAAUAGGGGCGGCGCGUUUCGGUUUCGGCUGGAACAGGCGUGUUUCGCGUCGACCGCCCGGGUUGGUUGCUGGAGCGCCGUGGCAACACGGCGCCGAGAGGAAUGGCUGCCCUUGCGGAUACGGUCUCUCUUCAGGGAUACCGUUCGCAAGACAGAACCCGGCUUACAGGCCCCCUGGCGCA
rnacentral:RNase_P_RNA from 1 species